rnacentral:rRNA from 1 species
AGUGAACGCUGGCGGUAGGCCUAACACAUGCAAGUCGAACGGCAGCACAGUAAGAGCUUGCUCUUACGGGUGGCGAGUGGCGGACGGGUGGGGAAUACAUCGGAAUCUACUUUUUCGUGGGGGAUAACGUAGGGAAACUUACGCUAAUACCGCAUACGACCUACGGGUGAAAGCAGGGGAUCUUCGGACCUUGCGCGAUUGAAUGAGCCGAUGCCGGAUUAGCUAGUUGGCGGGGUAAAGGCCCACCAAGGCGACGAUCCGUAGCUGGUCUGAGAGGAUGAUCAGCCACACUGGAACUGAGACACGGUCCAGACUCCUACGGGAGGCAGCAGUGGGGAAUAUUGGACAAUGGGCGCAAGCCUGAUCCAGCCAUACCGCGUGGGUGAAGAAGGCCUUCGGGUUGUAAAGCCCUUUUGUUGGGAAAGAAAAGCGGCAGGUUAAUACCCCGCUGUUCUGACGGUACCCAAAGAAUAAGCACCGGCUAACUUCGUG